CCAAACUUGGUCAUUUAGAGGAAGUAAAAGUCGUAACAAGGUUUCCGUAGGUGAACCUGCGGAAGGAUCAUUAGUGAACAACCCGGUGCGGUUGUUGCUGGCCUCCUCUGCCGAGGCAUGUGCACGCCCACCAUUUGUUUCAUCCUUCUUCCCACCUGUGCACUUCUGUAGGCCACCCAGCCAAAAGCCUUCCCGGCAUGCGGCUGGAACAGUGGUCUACGUUUUCUCAUCAACCCCAAUGAAUGUGUAGAGUGUAGAACAAGGUCCAUAAUGGCCUUAUAAAAUCUAAUACAACUUUCAACAACGGAUCUCUUGGCUCUCGCAUCGAUGAAGAACGCAGC
rnacentral:misc_RNA from 1 species